UCCGGUUGAUCUGCCGGAGGCGACCGCUUUUGGAGUUCGAUUAAGCCAUGCGAGUCGAGAGCCUUAGGGGCUCGGCAUACUGCUCAGUAACACGUGGAUAACCUGCCCUAUUGUCUGGAAUAACCUCGGGAAACUGAGAACAAGGCCGGAUAGCCCACAAUGCCUGGAACGGUUUGUGGGUGAAGAUAGGAUGGGUCUGCGGCGUAUCAGGUUGUAGGGGGUGUAAUGGACCUCCUAGCCAUCGACGCGUACGGGUGUUGGGAGACAUAGCCCGGAGAUGGAUUCUGAGACACGAAUCCAGACCCUACGGGGUGCAGCAGGCGCGAAAACUUCACACUGCAGGAAACUGUGAUGAGGGAACUCCAAGUGCUAUCACUAUGUGGUAGCUUUUCUUGACUAUUAAUCGGUCAUGGAAUAAGGGCUGGGAAAGACCGGUGCCAGCCGCCGCGGUAAUACCGGCAGCUCAAGUGGUCGUCGCUUUUAUUGGGCCUAAAACGUCCGUAGCCUGUUUGGUAAAUCUGUGGGUAAAUCAACCAGCUUAACUGGUUGA
rnacentral:rRNA from 1 species